AACCGCUUUCCACAUUGCGCACACCUUUUCAAGAAGUGUCUGGAACUGAUGAGAACCGAGUACUGAUAGCUUAGCUAUCAAAACAACCAAGAAGACUACCGUAGCUAUAGCUUUCGAAUAUACCCCUUCCUUCACUACAAGACUUCUUCGAAAAGUUUCACUGAAGCCCAAAUAUCUUCGGCCAAAAGUUGUGGUUCUUCCAUCGCUGCAAAAUGUCCACCUUUGGGGAAUUUUGUGGCUCGAAGUAAAUUUUUAUAACGUUCUUUAAGUAAACAUUCAGGCUGAUAUGAAAUUUCAUAACGAAAUUGAGCACAGGCACUUGGUACAUUUAUGGGCGCUCUAUAAUGCAUAAAUUCUCACGGCUGUUGUCAUUGUGUUUGGUAUCCAAUAAUACAUUAAAUUGUCAAUGAGUUCAUCAGGAGUAUGUUUCUCAAAAAGACCACCAUCGUCUUUCAUUCUAUAAUCGGGAUUUGUGGCAGUUGAGAAUUUUUCAAGAAUAUAUGCCGCCAAACCAAUUGGAGAAUCACUUGUCAGGUUUCGUGGCUUGAAUGUGAAAAUAUCCUGAUUCUUCAAGUUUACUGGCCCAGUGUUUACCAAGUGGAUACAUUAAAUGAUGAUCUUCUUCGGGAAGCAAAAGAGAUGGAAAGAAACUAAAGAAAUAAGUUUUCAAAAAAC